AUUGAACGCUGGCGGCAGGCCUAACACAUGCAAGUCGAGCGGGGUUUUCGGACCUAGCGGCGGACGGGUGAGUAAUGCGUAGGAAGCUACCCGAUAGAGGGGGAUACCAGUUGGAAACGACUGUUAAUACCGCAUAAUGUCUACGGACCAAAGUGUGGGACCUUCGGGCCACAUGCUAUCGGAUGCGCCUACGUGGGAUUAGCUAGUUGGUGAGGUAAUGGCUCACCAAGGCGACGAUCCCUAGCUGGUUUGAGAGGAUGAUCAGCCACACUGGAACUGCAACACGGUCCAGACUCCGACGGGAGGCAGCAGUGGGGAAUAUUGGACAAAGGGCGCAAGCCUGAUCCAGCCAUGCCGCGUGUGUGAAGAAGGCCUUCGGGUUGUAAAGCACUUUCAGUAGGGAGGAAGCGUUGUGUGUUAAUAGUACACAGCGUUGACGUUACCUACAGAAGAAGCACCGGCUAACUCUGUGCCAGCCGCCGCGGUAACAC
rnacentral:rRNA from 1 species